GUCGAACGAUGAACCCGGAGCUUGCUCUGGGGAAUUAGUGGCGAACGGGUGAGUAACACGUGAGUAACCUGCCCUUGACUCUGGGAUAACCUCCGGAAACGGAAGCUAAUACCGGAUACGACGUACGGAGGCAUCUCCUGUACGUGGAAAGAACUUCGGUCAAGGAUGGACUCGCGGCCUAUCAGGUAGUUGGUGAGGUAACGGCCCACCAAGCCUACGACGGGUAGCCGGCCUGAGAGGGUGACCGGCCACACUGGGACUGAGACACGGCCCAGACUCCUACGGGAGGCAGCAGUGGGGAAUAUUGCACAAUGGGCGCAAGCCUGAUGCAGCAACGCCGCGUGAGGGAUGACGGCCUUCGGGUUGUAAACCUCUUUUAGUAGGGAAGAAGCGAAAGUGACGGUACCUGCAGAAAAAGCACCGGCUAACUACGUGCCAGCAGCCGCGGUAAUACGUAGGGUGCGAGCGUUGUCCGGAAUUAUUGGGCGUAAAGAGCUCGUAGGCGGUCUGUCGCGUCUGCUGUGAAAACCCGAGGCUCAACCUCGGGCCUGCAGUGGGUACGGGCAGACUAGAGUGCGGUAGGGGAGAAUGGAAUUCCUGGUGUAGCGGUGGAAUGCGCAGAUAUCAGGAGGAACACCGAUGGCGAAGGCAGUUCUCUGGGCCGUAACUGACGCUGAGGAGCGAA
rnacentral:rRNA from 1 species